AUUGAACGCUGGCGGCACGCCUUACACAUGCAAGUCGAACGGCAGCACGGGUGCUUGCACCUGGUGGCGAGUGGCGAACGGGUGAGUAAUACAUCGGAACAUGUCCUGUAGUGGGGGAUAGCCCGGCGAAAGCCGGAUUAAUACCGCAUACGAUCUACGGCUGAAAGCGGGGGACCUUCGGGCCUCGCGCUAUAGGGUUGGCCGAUGGCUGAUUAGCUAGUUGGUGGGGUAAAGGCCUACCAAGGCGACGAUCAGUAGCUGGUCUGAGAGGACGACCAGCCACACUGGGACUGAGACACGGCCCAGACUCCUACGGGAGGCAGCAGUGGGGAAUUUUGGACAAUGGGCGAAAGCCUGAUCCAGCAAUGCCGCGUGUGCGAAGAAGGCCUUCGGGUUGUAAAGCACCUUUGUCCGGAAAGAAAUCCUUGGCCCUAAUACGGUCGGGGGAUGACGGUACCGGAAGAAUAAGCACCGGCUAACUACGUG
rnacentral:rRNA from 1 species